rnacentral:misc_RNA from 1 species
AUAGACGAACGGCGCGUCUUUAAACCAUGCGUCGGGAGCGCGGCGGGUUCAGGAUGAACGGCAAUGCUGCUCAUUAGCGAGAAGGCUUUUUUGCUUUUAGAAUUGUGAGCGCUCACAAUUCG